GUCCGCCUCACCGCGUGCACUGGUCCGGCCGGGCCUUUCCUUCUGGGGAGCCGCAUGCCCUUCACUGGGUGUGUCGGGGAACCAGGACUUUUACUUUGAAAAAAUUAGAGUGUUCAAAGCAGGCCUAUGCUCGAAUACAUUAGCAUGGAAUAAUAGAAUAGGACGUGUGGUUCUAUUUUGUUGGUUUCUAGGACCGCCGUAAUGAUUAAUAGGGAUAGUCGGGGGCAUCAGUAUUCAAUUGU
rnacentral:rRNA from 1 species